rnacentral:rRNA from 1 species
AUUGAACGCUGGCGGCGGCUUAACACAUGCAAGUCGAGCGGGGGAAGGUAGCUUGCUACCGGACCUAGCGGCGGACGGGUGAGUAAUGCUCAGGAAUCUGCCUAUUAGUGGGGGACAACAUCUCGAAAGGGAUGCUAAUACCGCAUACGUCCUACGGGAGAAAGCAGGGGAUCUUCGGACCUUGCGCUAAUAGAUGAGCCUAAGUCGGAUUAGCUAGUUGGUGGGGUAAAGGCCUACCAAGGCGACGAUCUGUAGCGGGUCUGAGAGGAUGAUCCGCCACACUGGGACUGAGACACGGCCCAGACUCCUACGGGAGGCAGCAGUGGGGAAUAUUGGACAAUGGGGGGAACCCUGAUCCAGCCAUGCCGCGUGUGUGAAGAAGGCCUUAUGGUUGUAAAGCACUUUAAGCGAGGAGGAGGCUACUUUAGUUAAUACCUAGAGAUAGUGGACGUUACUCGCAGAAUAAGCACCGGCUAACUCUGUGCCAGCCGCCGCCGUAA